CGGCAGGGGUGGAGAUCUCAUCUGAAGGCUUGACUCAGUUUGGGGAGGAGAUCCACUUCCAAGUUCAUGCAUGUGGUUGUUGUUGGGCCUCAGUUUCUCAUGGCAUGAGCCUCUACAUAUGUCUGUCUUAUAGCAUGGCUUCCCACAGGGCAAGCGUUCAGAGAGGGUGAGAAAGCACAUGAGAUGGAAGCUACAGUCUUUGGAGAACAUAUGCUUAGAACUGACAUUCCAUUACUUCUGCCAUAUUCUAUGCGUUAGAAGUAAGUAAGUUCAGUCUGCAUCAGGGAAGGCUGAUGUAGGAGUGCGGAUGAUUGCGUGCCUUAUGCAAGAGGCUUAUUUUAGAGCUGCCUACCAUACCUGGAAACUUAUUAGACAUACAAAUUGUUGGACCCCAUUCCAGACCUACUGAAUCAGAAACUCUGAGAGUGGGGCCCGGGAAUGUGUGUUCUACACUCCUUCUGGGUGAUUCUGAUGCAUGCUUAAGUUUGAUAGCCAUUGGCUUAGAGUAGGGGAUUGGUGAACUUCAUUUUAGGCACCAGGGGCCCCUACUAUCUCUGCCUCAGCUAC
rnacentral:lncRNA from 1 species